rnacentral:rRNA from 1 species
UGGGAAUAUUGCACAAUGGAGGGAACUCUGAUGCAGCGACGCCGCGUGAGUGAUGAAGGAAUUCGUUUCGUAAAACUCUGUUCUAUGGGAAGAAAAGGACUGUACCAUAGGAGAAAGCUCCGGCUAAAUACGUGCCAGCAGCCGCGGUAAUACGUAUGGAGCGAGCGUUGUCCGGAAUUAUUGGGCGUAAAGGGUGCGCAGGCGGCUUUACAAGUUGGAUGUGAAAUAUUGUGGCUCAACCACAAACGUGCAUCCAAAACUGCAAAGCUUGAGUUAAGGAGAGGUAAGUGGAAUUCCUGGUGUAGCGGUGGAAUGCGUAGAUAUCAGGAGGAAUACCGGUGGCGAAGGCGACUUACUGGACUUAAACUGACGCUCAGGCACGAAAGCGUGGGGAGCAAACAGG